rnacentral:lncRNA from 10 species
UAUACUACGUAAAAAGAUUAACUAAGAUGGACUGAAGACCUAUAAGAGCUAAAUUAUUGACUUUGAAAAGAAAGCCUGGGGGAAAUCUUCCUGAUGUUGGAUUUGGCAAUGGUUUCUUGGAUAUGACACCCAAAACACAGGUAACAAAAUAAAUGGGAGAUAAACUGGGCUUCAUAAAAAUUAAAAACUUUUGUACAAUAAAGGAUACAAUCAGGAGACUACAAAGGCAAGGAAAACACAGAUUGGGAGAAAAAAAUUAAAGCACACAUUGGAUAAGAGAUUAAUAUCCAGAAUAUAUAAAUAAUUCCUACAACUCAACAACCAAAAAUAAGCAAUCCAAUUUAAAAAUGGCCAAAGGACUUGAAUACACAUUUCUCCAUAAAGGAUAUACAGAUAGCAAACAAGGACAUGAAAAGAUGCUCAACAUCACUAAUCAUUAGGAAAUGCAAAAGCAAACCACAAUGAGAUAUCACUUCCCACUCACAGGGCUGAUAAAAAAUAACAAGUGUUGGUGAGAAUGUGGAGAAACUGGAAUGCCACGCAUUGCUGCUGGGAAUGUAAAAUGGCACGGUUGCCGUGGGAAACAGUGGGGCAUACUGUGAGUGAGGAAGGCACUCCAAAGUAUGGAUACCCUGAGACAUGGGGCUAGGGCAGAGGUCCUCCUUUUGCCUGGGAUCCAAGGGCAAGAGUGACCUUAAGAUAAAAAUGUGACCUAAGAAUUUCACACUCAUCAAAGUUUGAACAUGUUUAAAACUAUAGGAAUAUUUUCCCCAUGAGUCCAGAGACGGCCUAAAAAUCUACAUCCAAGAAAUUAAUGGUACACACUGAAUUUUACUACCAGACCAAACUAAAGCCAAUAUGAGAAAUAGGGAGACAGAAGAGAAUGCUAAUGUUAUAUGUCUUGAAAAUGUUGAAAUGCCAUAUUCAACACACUUUGAGAAAGCAAAAUGAAAAAAAAUUGCUUAAUAGAGUAAGUAUACUGAUUUUUUUUAUUUUAAUAGCUAGGAGCAAAGUGUCUCAUUAAAACUGACAAGCCAACAGAGUCAUAAGCACAUUUGAGUAUAAAGAAUAACAUUAAUAAAGUUGACGCAAUCAACUAAAAAUAAAAUUAAAUAGUGAACGAGAGUGAAGAGAUAAAAAGAAACUUAUUAAUUUAUUAAUUGCUUAAAAUAGGAAAUUUACAGAUACUUUCUAAGGAAACAAAAGACUAAAUUAUUAAAUAAAUGUAUUAUUAUACAAGUAAACAUUAGGACAUAUCUCUCUUCCAUCAGGGAAAUAUACACACAAAAAAAGAAGGUAAAGACAAUAGUCAGCAUAGUGAAUGUUUUUUAAAAAUCUACAACAAAACAUAGCAUAAAAUAAUAUAGUUAGGUCCAAAUAUACAUCAUACCACUAAAUGUAAAUGAAUUAAUAAAAAACAAAAUAGUAUUGGCUGGGCGCAGUGGCUCAUGCCUGUAAUCUCAGCACUUUGGGAGGCCGAGGCGGGUGGAUAACUUGAGCUCAGGAGUUCAAGACCUGCCUGGCCAACAUGGUGAAACCCCAUCUCUACUAAUAAUACAAAAAUUAGCCGGGCAUUGUGGUGCAUGCCUGUAAUCCCAGCUAUUUGGGAGGCUGAGGCACAAGAAUCGCUUGAACCCAGAGAGUAGAGGUUGCAGUGAGCCAAGGUCACACCACUGCACUCCAGCGUGGGUGACAGAGUGAGAUUCUGUCUGAAAAAAAAAAAAAAAAAGAUUUAGUAGUAUAUAAAAAAAAAUAUUUAACUUCCCUAUUAAAAUAAAAAUGCUUUCAAGAUUGGGUAACGAAGUAAAGUUCAUCUUGGGCACUGUGACUAAGAAAGGAUUGGAAAAAAAGAAGGUCAUCAAAGGUAUAUCAGGCAAAUGGGAACAAAAGAAAGCAGUAUUUUUACCCGGCAGGAGUUACCAUGAUCACGAAGGUGGUUUUCCAGGGCAAGCCUCAACCAUUGCACUCCGGAUAUGCUGACCCGCAUGAUUUCCCCAAAUGUAGGAAACUCAACUGCAUAAUUUUUGAAGGACUGCAUUGCACUCUCUUCUGAUUUAAAAAAUUUAAAAUUUUUAAAUAUAAAAAUAAAAAUAAAAUAUUUAGGAUAUUAAUACGAUACAAGGUAGACUUCAAGCCAAAACCAUUAGCUAAGACAAAUAAAGACAAUUCCUAAUACUAAAGUGUGGCAUGAUCCUAAUAAAAUGCCCGCAGGAUUUUACUGUGGAGUUGGAUAAGUUCAUAUUAAAGGUUAAGUGGAAAAUAAACACGAAAAGUCGUGAAAUCUCUUUUUAAAAAGAAGAGGAAUGAGGGGGAUACUACUCCUUCCAGAUGGUUUACUGUAUAAUAGACUCUAAAACUCAAUAAUUUAAACAUUGUGACUUGAAUGCUUGAAGACAUAGAUCUGUGGAAUGGUAAAGAAAGUUUAUAAAUAGACCCAUUUUCUUGUGGAAUUUAGUAUGUGAUAAUGGUGUAACACAGGCCAAUAAAGUACAGACAGAUUAUACGAGACAGGUUGUUGGAACUCCUAGUUAGCCAUCUGAAAAAAAGAAUAAUUUUGGACACAUAUUUGUCCUUUACACCAGGACAAAUUCAAAAUGGAUCAAGGAUUUAAAUGUAAAAAAGAAUCAAAACGAUAACUAAAUUAAACCAUGGCUGAAUUCCUUAUUGACCCUGCAGGAAGGUCUUUCUAAAACAUUAACAUAAAACCAAGAAGCAUAAAAAAGAUUCAUAAAUCAACUCCUAUGUAUCACAAACCUGCAAAAUCAAGUCAAAAGUUAAAUUGAAAAUUGUAACAAGUAUUUACAACUCACAAAUUUAUCUCAUAAAGAGCUGAACUUCCCAAUAUAUUAAAAGCUUCUGUGAAUGAGAAUAAUAGCCAAUAGAUAAAAUGAGGUGUGAUGAGCAAGUUCCCAGAAAAAGAAAUACAAACAACUCUAAAACUAGGAAGAGAUCUCAACCUCAGUCAUGAUGAGAGAAAUGCAAAUUCAGUCUCUCCGUAACACCAUCCUUCACUUUCAGUUUUGUAAGUAAAAUAAAUAGUAAAUAAAAUAAAAAGUUUACUCAUGGGAGUGUAAAUUGGAACAAACUCUAUUGAGGGAAAUUUGUGAUCUUUAUCAAAAUUAUUAAUGACAAAUACUGUGAAUCAGCAAUUCAUUUGUAGAAAUGUAGCAUACAGAUACUCUCACAAGUGUACAAAAUGAUGUAUAUCCAAGGCUACUCAUUGCAGUGUUGCUUGUGAGAGCAAAGGCAGGACACAGCUGAAAUGCUCAUCAACCGAAAUGAUUGGUUAAAUUGGUUACAUAAAGUAUGGUACAUGCAUGCAUGGAAUAAAAACAGCCAUCAAAAAUGAAGAGCAGUUUGAACUGAUACGGAAU